rnacentral:rRNA from 1 species
CCAGACUCCUACGGGAGGCAGCAGUGGGGGAUAUUGGACAAUGGGGGAAACCCUGAUCCAGCGAUGCCGCGUGAGGGAAGAAGGUUUUCGGAUUGUAAACCUCUGUGGACAGGGACGAUAAUGACGGUACCUGUCAAGAAAGCCACGGCUAACUACGUGCCAGCAGCCGCGGUAAUACGGGGGAUGCAAGCGUUGUCCGGAAUCAUUGGGCGUAAAGAGUUCGUAGGUGGCACGUUAAGUCUGGUGUUAAAUGCAGAGGCUCAACCUCUGUUCGGCACUGGAUACUGGCGAGCUUGAAUGCGGUAGAGGUAAAGGGAAUUCCUGGUGUAGCGGUGAAAUGCGUAGAUAUCAGGAGGAACAUCGGUGGCGUAAGCGCUUUACUGGGCCGUAAUUGACACUGAGGAACGAAAGCCAGGGUAGCAAAUGGGAUUAGAUACCCCAGUA